UGCAAUUGAGCCUGCUGGGUGCUGCUGCAAGUUUGGGGGUGAACAGGAGAAUCAGGUUCUUGUAGGGGUGAAGUCUGCAAAGUAGGAUGUUUUCCUAAUUUGAAUGCAAUGACUGAAGUGGAAAAUGGUCAAAACUGGGCAGAGUGGCUCACACCUACAAUCCCCUAGGAGGGAAGGACAAAGGCAUCCAUAUCACCUGGCCACAGUGGUUGUGGUGGAAGCUGUAGCACUGAAGAGAUGCAGCCCCAUGGAAGAUGCUGCCAAGAGAGGGAGACAGAGCUAUGUCUGGUGUCUCCCUUCCUCCUUACCUGGUGCCUCCCUCCUCCUGUCCUCCUGUCUCCCUUCAGAUGAAGGAACUGAUGCUGAGACUUGCACUCUACCAUAGGCGGAAGCACCCACCACCCUGUUCCCAGCCCUGGAAGGGCAAGGAAUGAAUCUGAGGCAAAUAGGGCCGGCACUGGCAGUCUGCUCGAUUUUCCCUCAGAGCAUUUAUCUUCCUUGACAUAUUUACAAUUUUUUGUCUAUUUUUGGUUUCUCUAACUUGACUAGAAUGUAAGAUCCACAAGGCUUGGGCUUUGCUCUUUUGUUCACUAUGUCCAUAGCUCCUAUAACAGUGCCUAAAACAUAGUAGGCAAUCAAUAGAUAUUCUUUGGAUAAACAAAUAUGCCUCAACAUUGAGUCUAACUUACAGCAGACAUUGAAUAAAUAUCUAUUGAAUGAA
rnacentral:lncRNA from 1 species